AUUGAACGCUGGCGGCAUGCUUUACACAUGCAAGUCGAACGGUAACAGGCCGCAAGGUGCUGACGAGUGGCGAACGGGUGAGUAAUGCAUCGGAACGUGCCCAGUCGUGGGGGAUAACUACUCGAAAGAGUAGCUAAUACCGCAUACGAUCUAUGGAUGAAAGCGGGGGACCGUAAGGCCUCGCGCGAUUGGAGCGGCCGAUGUCAGAUUAGGUAGUUGGUGGGGUAAAGGCUCACCAAGCCAACGAUCUGUAGCUGGUCUGAGAGGACGACCAGCCACACUGGGACUGAGACACGGCCCAGACUCCUACGGGAGGCAGCAGUGGGGAAUUUUGGACAAUGGGCGAAAGCCUGAUCCAGCAAUGCCACGUGCAGGAAGAAGGCCUUCGGGUUGUAAACUGCUUUUGUACGGAACGAAACGGCUCUGGUUAAUACCCGGGGCUAAUGACGGUACCGAAAGAAUAAGCACCGGCUAACUACGUG
rnacentral:rRNA from 1 species